AAAGUCAAGAAACAAAUAAAAUAUUUUUGGUGUAUUUGAAAAUUAAAAUAAUACUUGAAUUAAAAUAAUCAAAUAAAGGUCAAACUUCAAAUCCAUUUCAAAUCAACUUGGAAAAGUCCAAAUGGAUCAUCCUAAGUUCAACAAAGUCAAACAAAGUUUGACAAAAAUGAAAGAGAUAUGAAUUUUUGAAAUAAAAGGAAA
rnacentral:lncRNA from 1 species